GACGAACGCUGGCGGCGCGCCUAACACAUGCAAGUCGAACGAGCGAGAGAGAGCUUGCUUUCUCAAGCGAGUGGCGAACGGGUGAGUAACGCGUGAGGAACCUGCCUCAAAGAGGGGGACAACAGUUGAAACGACUGCUAAUACCGCCUAAGCCCACGACCCGGCAUCGGGUAGAGGGAAAAGGAGCAAUCCGCUUUGAGAUGGCCUCGCGUCCGAAUUGCUAGGUGGUGAGGUAACGGCCCACCAAGGCGACGAUCGGUAGCCGGACUGAGAGGUUGAACGGCCACAUUGGGACUGAGACACGGCCCAGACUCCUACGGGAGGCAGCAGUGGGGAAUAUUGCACAAUGGGGGAAACCCUGAUGCAGCGACGCCGCGUGGAGGAAGAAGGUCUUCGGAUUGUAAACUCCUGUUGGUGAGGAAGAUAAUGACGGUACUCAACAAGGAAGUGACGGCUAACUACGU
rnacentral:rRNA from 1 species